UAGAAAGUAAGUAAGUAAACAAAUGCAGGGCUGGUUUAUGUCAGCUUGAGUUUUGUACUUCAGAGGUUCUUACUGCUAUUCAGAAACACAGUUACAGAUAGAUUAGUUUACAGGCUUCUAUAUCAGCCAAUAUUUGCAGCACAAGCGCGUUGUUAGUGACUGAAAUUUAGCAAAGAGUUCAAGACAAAAUGGCGGAUGGAAGCUACAUCAGCAGAAAGAUAGUUAAAUAUUUCUGAAACUAAAAGAUGGACACAAACGAAAAUCGGUAAUACUAAAGACUCCAUUAUCGAGUCUGUACUGUCAUGAUGGUCAUCUUCUGUUUUGGAAUCUGAGUUUUCUGUUUCAAUAGAGUCAUCUUCAUCAUCUCCACUGUGGGAAUCAACUGGGCCAUCCUUUGUUGAUAUUCACCAAGAAAGAGAAAAAAAGAAAAGAAGACCCCUACACUCUUAUUAUGUAUGCACAAUAUCUCGUUACUAUGAAUUUUUUUCUAUUUUAAUAGGAUCAUAACUGUUAAAAGGAGCAUUGGACACAAACAAUAUGUUGUAUACCUUUAGUACUGAACAUUUACACAUCAAAAAUACCUUUCAAGUGUAUGUAAAGUG